GUGGGGAAUAUUGGACAAUGGGCGCAAGCCUGAUCCAGCCAUGGCGCGUGAGUGAUGAAGGCCUUAGGGUUGUAAAGCUCUUUCACCGAUGAAGAUAAUGACGGUAGUCGGAGAAGAAGCCCCGGCUAACUUCGUGCCAGCAGCCGCGGUAAUACGAAGGGGGCUAGCGUUGUUCGGAUUUACUGGGCGUAAAGCGCACGUAGGCGGUUUGUUAAGUCAGGGGUGAAAUCCCGGAGCUCAACUCCGGAACUGCCUUUGAUACUGGCAAGCUAGAGUCCGGAAGAGGUAAGUGGAACUCCUAGUGUAGAGGUGGAAUUCGUAGAUAUUAGGAAGAACACCAGUGGCGAAGGCGGCUUACUGGUCCGGAACUGACGCUGAGGUGCGAAAGCGUGGGGAGCAAACAGGAUUAGAUACCCGGGUAGUCC
rnacentral:rRNA from 1 species